AUUGAACGCUGGCGGCAGGCCUAACACAUGCAAGUCGAGCGGAUGAAGGGAGCUUGCUCCUGGAUUCAGCGGCGGACGGGUGAGUAAUGCCUAGGAAUCUGCCUGGUAGUGGGGGAUAACGUCCGGAAACGGGCGCUAAUACCGCAUACGUCCUGAGGGAGAAAGUGGGGGAUCUUCGGACCUCACGCUAUCAGAUGAGCCUAGGUCGGAUUAGCUAGUUGGUGGGGUAAAGGCCUACCAAGGCGACGAUCCGUAACUGGUCUGAGAGGAUGAUCAGUCACACUGGAACUGAGACACGGUCCAGACUCCUACGGGAGGCAGCAGUGGGGAAUAUUGGACAAUGGGCGAAAGCCUGAUCCAGCAAUGCCGCGUGUGUGAAGAAGGUCUUCGGAUUGUAAAGCACUUUAAGUUGGGAGGAAGGGCAGUAAGUUAAUACCUUGCUGUUUUGACGUUACCAAAAGAAUAAGCACCGGCUAACUUCGUG
rnacentral:rRNA from 1 species